UGUACAAUGCUACCUCUUUCCAAUUAGCCAAAGAACUUCACUUCUAAACUCUGAUUUAGCAAGCCAGUUUGCAAUCUACAACCAUGCGUAACGUCAACUUGUGAUGAAACUACGCUUUACGUAGUCCAGUUUAUUCUCUCUAAACCAGUUGAUGAAUUCUAAUUUGCAUUUUCUUUUAUGGGACAUUUUAAAAGUUUGCUUAAAACUCGCUUGACAAUGAGAUGGAAACAUGACUAUGGAGAUGUCCACAGUGAACC